GAAAAUGGGUGGGACGCACCGCAGAGACACGCCCACUCUCGUUCCACCGUACGCACAUGCUUUAAUGUACGCCCCUUCCGCCGGCGUCCUGCUUAGUGCCAGUGUCACUUGGAGGAGACAAGAUGGUACCACCGGUCCCAGUAUCGCCCUUUAUUAAGUUCGCCAGAUAUUCUGCAUUACUGGUUGGAAUGAUUUAUGGCAAGACAAGAUAUGACUAUUUGAAACCAGUUGCUGAAGAAGAAAGGAAGGUAGAAGCUGAAGAAAAAAGACUGCGAGAGGAAGCAGAGCGAAUUGCUAAGGAAUUAGCAGCAGCUAAUGAAGAUACCAUUCUGAAAUGAAUUCCCAUCCAUUAAAGGACACUUUACCACCGUAUUGUAUUUCCUUGUUUAUUGCUCCUGGGUUGCUUAUGUAAAAGAAAUUAUGGUAAUAUAAACUUUCAAGAAAAA